rnacentral:rRNA from 1 species
ACACGUGGGAUCCAAGCGUUAUCCGGAUUUACUGGGCGUAAAGCGCGUGCAGGCGGUUUAGUAAGUUGGAUGUGAAAGCUCCGGGCUUAACCCGGAGAGGUCGUUCAAAACUGCUAAACUUGAGGACGGUAGAGGGAGGUGGAAUUCCGGGUGUAGUGGUGAAAUGCGUAGAUAUCCGGAGGAACACCAGUGGCGAAGGCGGCCUCCUGGCCCGUUCCUGACGCUCAGACGCGAAAGCUAGGGUAGCAAACGGGAUUAGAAACCCCAGUAGUCC